rnacentral:rRNA from 1 species
UACGGAGGGGACUAGCGUUGUUCGGAAUUACUGGGCGUAAAGCGCGCGUAGGCGGAUUUGCAAGUCGGGGGUGAAAGCCCGAGGCUCAGCCUCGGAACUGCCCUCGAUACUGCAAAUCUCGAGUCCGAGAGAGGUGAGUGGAAUUCCUAGUGUAGAGGUGAAAUUCGUAGAUAUUAGGAAGAACACCAGUGGCGAAGGCGGCUCACUGGCUCGGUACUGACGCUGAGGCGCGAAAGCGUGGGGAGCAAACAGG